GGGUUGUGAGGUUAAGCGACUAAGCGUACACGGUGGAUGCCCUGGCAGUCAGAGGCGAUGAAGGACGUGCUAAUCUGCGAUAAGCGUCGGUAAGGUGAUAUGAACCGUUAUAACCGGCGAUUUCCGAAUGGGGAAACCCAGUGUGAUUCGUCACACUAUCAUUAACUGAAUCCAUAGGUUAAUGAGGCGAACCGGGGGAACUGAAACAUCUAAGUACCCCGAGGAAAAGAAAUCAACCGAGAUUCCCCCAGUAGCGGCGAGCGAACGGGGAGCAGCCCAGAGCCUGAAUCAGUGUGUGUGUUAGUGGAAGCGUCUGGAAAGGCGCGCGAUACAGGGUGACAGCCCCGUACACAAAAAUGCACAUACUGUGAGCUCGAUGAGUAGGGCGGGACACGUGGUAUCCUGUCUGAAUAUGGGGGGACCAUCCUCCAAGGCUAAAUACUCCUGACUGACCGAUAGUGAACCAGUACCGUGAGGGAAAGGCGAAAAGAACCCCGGCGAGGGGAGUGAAAAAGAACCUGAAACCGUGUACGUACAAGCAGUGGGAGCACGCUUAGGCGUGUGACUGCGUACCUUUUGUAUAAUGGGUCAGCGACUUAUAUUCUGUAGCAAGGUUAACCGAAUAGGGGAGCCGAAGGGAAACCGAGUCUUAACUGGGCGUUAAGUUGCAGGGUAUAGACCCGAAACCCGGUGAUCUAGCCAUGGGCAGGUUGAAGGUUGGGUAACACUAACUGGAGGACCGAACCGACUAAUGUUGAAAAAUUAGCGGAUGACUUGUGGCUGGGGGUGAAAGGCCAAUCAAACCGGGAGAUAGCUGGUUCUCCCCGAAAGCUAUUUAGGUAGCGCCUCGUGAAUUCAUCUCCGGGGGUAGAGCACUGUUUCGGCAAGGGGGUCAUCCCGACUUACCAACCCGAUGCAAACUGCGAAUACCGGAGAAUGUUAUCACGGGAGACACACGGCGGGUGCUAACGUCCGUCGUGAAGAGGGAAACAACCCAGACCGCCAGCUAAGGUCCCAAAGUCAUGGUUAAGUGGGAAACGAUGUGGGAAGGCCCAGACAGCCAGGAUGUUGGCUUAGAAGCAGCCAUCAUUUAAAGAAAGCGUAAUAGCUCACUGGUCGAGUCGGCCUGCGCGGAAGAUGUAACGGGGCUAAACCAUGCACCGAAGCUGCGGCAGCGACGCUGAUGCGUUGUUGGGUAGGGGAGCGUUCUGUAAGCCUGUGAAGGUGUGCUGUGAGGCAUGCUGGAGGUAUCAGAAGUGCGAAUGCUGACAUAAGUAACGAUAAAGCGGGUGAAAAGCCCGCUCGCCGGAAGACCAAGGGUUCCUGUCCAACGUUAAUCGGGGCAGGGUGAGUCGACCCCUAAGGCGAGGCCGAAAGGCGUAGUCGAUGGGAAACAGGUUAAUAUUCCUGUACUUGGUGUUACUGCGAAGGGGGGACGGAGAAGGCUAUGUUGGCCGGGCGACGGUUGUCCCGGUUUAAGCGUGUAGGCUGGUUUUCCAGGCAAAUCCGGAAAAUCAAGGCUGAGGCGUGAUGACGAGGCACUACGGUGCUGAAGCAACAAAUGCCCUGCUUCCAGGAAAAGCCUCUAAGCAUCAGGUAACAUCAAAUCGUACCCCAAACCGACACAGGUGGUCAGGUAGAGAAUACCAAGGCGCUUGAGAGAACUCGGGUGAAGGAACUAGGCAAAAUGGUGCCGUAACUUCGGGAGAAGGCACGCUGAUAUGUAGGUGAAGUCCCUCGCGGAUGGAGCUGAAAUCAGUCGAAGAUACCAGCUGGCUGCAACUGUUUAUUAAAAACACAGCACUGUGCAAACACGAAAGUGGACGUAUACGGUGUGACGCCUGCCCGGUGCCGGAAGGUUAAUUGAUGGGGUCAGCGCAAGCGAAGCUCUUGAUCGAAGCCCCGGUAAACGGCGGCCGUAACUAUAACGGUCCUAAGGUAGCGAAAUUCCUUGUCGGGUAAGUUCCGACCUGCACGAAUGGCGUAAUGAUGGCCAGGCUGUCUCCACCCGAGACUCAGUGAAAUUGAACUCGCUGUGAAGAUGCAGUGUACCCGCGGCAAGACGGAAAGACCCCGUGAACCUUUACUAUAGCUUGACACUGAACAUUGAGCCUUGAUGUGUAGGAUAGGUGGGAGGCUUUGAAGUGUGGACGCCAGUCUGCAUGGAGCCGGCCUUGAAAUACCACCCUUUAAUGUUUGAUGUUCUAACGUUGACCCGUAAUCCGGGUUGCGGACAGUGUCUGGUGGGUAGUUUGACUGGGGCGGUCUCCUCCUAAAGAGUAACGGAGGAGCACGAAGGUUGGCUAAUCCUGGUCGGACAUCAGGAGGUUAGUGCAAUGGCAUAAGCCAGCUUGACUGCGAGCGUGACGGCGCGAGCAGGUGCGAAAGCAGGUCAUAGUGAUCCGGUGGUUCUGAAUGGAAGGGCCAUCGCUCAACGGAUAAAAGGUACUCCGGGGAUAACAGGCUGAUACCGCCCAAGAGUUCAUAUCGACGGCGGUGUUUGGCACCUCGAUGUCGGCUCAUCACAUCCUGGGGCUGAAGUAGGUCCCAAGGGUAUGGCUGUUCGCCAUUUAAAGUGGUACGCGAGCUGGGUUUAGAACGUCGUGAGACAGUUCGGUCCCUAUCUGCCGUGGGCGCUGGAGAACUGAGGGGGGCUGCUCCUAGUACGAGAGGACCGGAGUGGACGCAUCACUGGUGUUCGGGUUGUCAUGCCAAUGGCACUGCCCGGUAGCUAAAUGCGGAAGAGAUAAGUGCUGAAAGCAUCUAAGCACGAAACUUGCCCCGAGAUGAGUUCUCCCUGACUCCUUGAGAGUCCUGAAGGAACGUUGAAGACGACGACGUUGAUAGGCCGGGUGUGUAAGCGCAGCGAUGCGUUGAGCUAACCGGUACUAAUGAACCGUGAGGCUUAACCUUACAACGCCGAAG
rnacentral:rRNA from 1 species